GUCCAUGCCGUAAACGUUGGGCACUAGGUGUGGGGACAUUCCACGUUUUCCGCGCCGUAGCUAACGCAUUAAGUGCCCCGCCUGGGGAGUACGGCCGCAAGGCUAAAACUCAAAGGAAUUGACGGGGGCCCGCACAAGCGGCGGAGCAUGCGGAUUAAUUCGAUGCAACGCGAAGAACCUUACCAAGGCUUGACAUGAACCGGAAAGACCUGGAAACAGGUGCCCCCGCUUGCGGUCGGUUUACAGGUGGUGCAAUGGUUGUCGU
rnacentral:rRNA from 1 species